rnacentral:rRNA from 1 species
UACGUAGGGCGCAAGCGUUGUCCGGAAUUAUUGGGCGUAAAGAGCGUGUAGGCGGUUUUACAGGUCCGCUGUGAAAACUCGAGGCUCAACCUCGAGCUGUCGGUGGAAACCGUAAGGCUAGAGUCCGGAAGAGGAGAGUGGAAUUCCUGGUGUAGCGGUGAAAUGCGCAGAUAUCAGGAAGAACACCCGUGGCGAAGGCGGCUCUCUGGGACGGUACUGACGCUGAGACGCGAAAGCGUGGGGAGCGAACAGG